rnacentral:rRNA from 1 species
GGCGUAGUCGAUGGGAAACAGGUUAAUAUUCCUGUACUUGGUGUUACUGCGAAGGGGGGACGGAGAAGGCUAUGUUGGCCGGGCGACGGUUGUCCCGGUUUAAGCGUGUAGGCUGGUUUUCCAGGCAAAUCCGGAAAAUCAAGGCUGAGGCGUGAUGACGAGGCACUACGGUGCUGAAGCAACAAAUGCCCUGCUUCCAGGAAAAGCCUCUAAGCAUCAGGUAACAUCAAAUCGUACCCCAAACCGACACAGGUGGUCAGGUAGAGAAUACCAAGGCGCUUGAGAGAACUCGGGUGAAGGAACUAGGCAAAAUGGUGCCGUAACUUCGGGAGAAGGCACGCUGAUAUGUAGGUGAAGUCCCUUGCGGAUGGAGCUGAAAUCAGUCGAAGAUACCAGCUGGCUGCAACUGUUUAUUAAAAACACAGCACUGUGCAAACACGAAAGUGGACGUAUACGGUGUGACGCCUGCCCGGUGCCGGAAGGUUAAUUGAUGGGGUCAGCGCAAGCGAAGCUCUUGAUCGAAGCCCCGGUAAACGGCGGCCGUAACUAUAACGGUCCUAAGGUAGCGAAAUUCCUUGUCGGGUAAGUUCCGACCUGCACGAAUGGCGUAAUGAUGGCCAGGCUGUCUCCACCCGAGACUCAGUGAAAUUGAACUCGCUGUGAAGAUGCAGUGUACCCGCGGCAAGACGGAAAGACCCCGUGAACCUUUACUAUAGCUUGACACUGAACAUUGAGCCUUGAUGUGUAGGAUAGGUGGGAGGCUUUGAAGUGUGGACGCCAGUCUGCAUGGAGCCGACCUUGAAAUACCACCCUUUAAUGUUUGAUGUUCUAACGUGGACCCGUGAUCCGGGUUGCGGACAGUGUCUGGUGGGUAGUUUGACUGGGGCGGUCUCCUCCUAAAGAGUAACGGAGGAGCACGAAGGUUGGCUAAUCCUGGUCGGACAUCAGGAGGUUAGUGCAAUGGCAUAAGCCAGCUUGACUGCGAGCGUGACGGCGCGAGCAGGUGCGAAAGCAGGUCAUAGUGAUCCGGUGGUUCUGAAUGGAAGGGCCAUCGCUCAACGGAUAAAAGGUACUCCGGGGAUAACAGGCUGAUACCGCCCAAGAGUUCAUAUCGACGGCGGUGUUUGGCACCUCGAUGUCGGCUCAUCACAUCCUGGGGCUGAAGUAGGUCCCAAGGGUAUGGCUGUUCGCCAUUUAAAGUGGUACGCGAGCUGGGUUUAGAACGUCGUGAGACAGUUCGGUCCCUAUCUGCCGUGGGCGCUGGAGAACUGAGGGGGGCUGCUCCUAGUACGAGAGGACCGGAGUGGACGCAUCACUGGUGUUCGGGUUGUCAUGCCAAUGGCACUGCCCGGUAGCUAAAUGCGGAAGAGAUAAGUGCUGAAAGCAUCUAAGCACGAAACUUGCCCCGAGAUGAGUUCUCCCUGACCCUUUAAGGGUCCUGAAGGAACGUUGAAGACGACGACGUUGAUAGGCCGGGUGUGUAAGCGCAGCGAUGCGUUGAGCUAACCGGUACUAAUGAACCGUGAGGCUUAACCUU